UACGAGGGGAGCAAGCGUUGUUCGGAUUUACUGGGCGUAAAGGGCGCGUAGGCGGCCACGACAAGUCACUUGUGAAAUCUCCGGGCUUAACCCGGAAAGGUCAAGUGAUACUGUCGGGCUAGAGUGCAGAAGGGGCAACUGGAAUUCCCGGUGUAGCGGUUAAAUGCGCAGAUAUCGGGAGGAACACCGGUGGCGAAGGCGGUUCUCUGGGCCUGUACUGACGCUGAGGAGCGAAAGCGUGGGGAGCGAACAGG
rnacentral:rRNA from 1 species